CCUACGGGAGGCAGCAGUGAGGAAUAUUGGUCAAUGGACGCAAGUCUGAACCAGCCAUGCCGCGUGCAGGAAGACGGCUCUAUGAGUUGUAAACUGCUUUUGUACGAGGGUAAACGCAGAUACGCGUAUCUGACUGAAAGUAUCGUAAGAAUAAGGAUCGGCUAACUCCGUGCCAGCAGCCGCGGUAAUACGGAGGAUUCAAGCGUUAUCCGGAUUUAUUGGGUUGAAAGGGUGCGUAGGCGGUCGGAUAAGUUAGAGGUGAAAUCCCGAGGCUCAACUUCGGAAGUGCCUCUGAUACUGUUCGGCUUGAGAGUAGUUGAGGUAAGCGGAAUGUAUAGUGUAGCGGUGAUAUGCUUAGAGAUCAUACAGAACACCGAUUGCGUAGGCAGCUUACCGGGCUCCUUCUGACGUUGAGGCACGAAAGCGUGGGGAGCAAACAGGAUUAGAUACCCCAGUAGUC
rnacentral:rRNA from 1 species